UCCAACAGCUCACUGGUUUGUCUAGGC
rnacentral:piRNA from 1 species